AGCUUGCUCUUAUGAAGUUAGCGGCGGACGGGUGAGUAACACGUGGGUAACCUGCCCAUAAGACUGGGAUAACUCCGGGAAACCGGGGCUAAUACCGGAUAACAUUUUGAACCGCAUGGUUCGAAAUUGAAAGGCGGCUUCGGCUGUCACUUAUGGAUGGACCCGCGUCGCAUUAGCUAGUUGGUGAGGUAACGGCUCACCAAGGCAACGAUGCGUAGCCGACCUGAGAGGGUGAUCGGCCACACUGGGACUGAGACACGGCCCAGACUCCUACGGGAGGCAGCAGUAGGGAAUCUUCCGCAAUGGACGAAAGUCUGACGGAGCAACGCCGCGUGAGUGAUGAAGGCUUUCGGGUCGUAAAACUCUGUUGUUAGGGAAGAACAAGUGCUAGUUGAAUAAGCUGGCACCUUGACGGUACCUAACCAGAAAGCCACGGCUAACUACGUGCCAGCAGCCGCGGUAAUACGUAGGUGGCAAGCGUUAUCCGGAAUUAUUGGGCGUAAAGCGCGCGCAGGUGGUUUCUUAAGUCUGAUGUGAAAGCCCACGGCUCAACCGUGGAGGGUCAUUGGAAACUGGGAGACUUGAGUGCAGAAGAGGAAAGUGGAAUUCCAUGUGUAGCGGUGAAAUGCGUAGAGAUAUGGAGGAACACCAGUGGCGAAGGCGACUUUCUGGGUCUGUAACUGACACUGAGGCGCGAAAGCGUGGGGAGCAAACAGGAUUAGAUACCCUGUU
rnacentral:rRNA from 1 species